rfam:Oryza glumipatula chromosome 1, whole genome shotgun sequence.
UUUAAAUCCAAUCAUAAGUUUUCGCGCCUAACUUUGACCGUCUGUCUUAUUUGAAAUUUUUUUAUAAUUAGUAUUUUUUAUUGUUAUUAGAUGAUAAAACAUGAAUGGGACUUUACUCGUGACUUAUGUUUUUAAUUUUUUUUUAAAAAAAUUUAAAUAAGAUGGAUGGUCAAACUUAGGUGCGGAAAACCAUAGCUACACUUAGG